CGUGUAGGCGGUGCGGUAAGUUGGGCGUGAAAUCCCCGAGCUUAACUCGGGUGGGCCGUUCAAGACUGCCGUGCUAGGGUGCGGGAGAGGGAAGUGGAAUUUCCGGUGUAGUGGUGAAAUGCGUAGAUAUCGGGAGGAACACCUGCGGCGAAGGCGGCUUCCUGGACCGUAACCGACGCUGAGGCGCGAAAGCUAGGGGAGCAAACAGGAUUAGAUACCCUGGUAGUCCUAGCCCUAAACGAUGAGCACUGGGUGUGGCCCCUCACGAGGCCGUGCCGAAGCUAACGCAUUAAGUGCUCCGCCUGGGGAGUACGGUCGCAAGGCUGAA
rnacentral:rRNA from 1 species